GCCAAUAAUUAGCCGCAGAACUAGUGUUGGCAACAGGGUUUUGGGUUCUAUGUUUGUUUGCACAUAAGUGUCUGCUUGGGAGAGGUGUGAUCCACCUCACUAUGUAGGACAAAGCUAUUUUUGCCAAUAGGAUGGCUGAUUUCAUCAGGAGAGCUUUAAACCAAGAAUGACAGGGGAGGGACAGAGGGAUGGAGUGACAGGUUAGCUGAGCAAAGGGCAUGGGGGGUGUGAUGGAAGGGGAUCAUGAAAUCAACAAAAUAGGUCUUAAGCAGGGUCAUUUCCAGCACUUGGAUGUAAGCAAGGAAGUGCGUAGAAGUCACCAUUAUGGAGAAAUCCCCAAGCCCUUUCUAGGAAGUCAACAUGCUGAAAUGCCUCUGUGAAGUGUCGGGAGAAGGCAAUAAAGAUGGUGAAGGUACCAGAGCACCUCUCAUAUGAUGAAGAGACUGGGAGAGCUACGCCUGUUUAUCCUAGAGAAGAGAAGGCUCAGGGGGAUCUGAUCAAUGUAUAUAGAUACCUGAAGGGAGGGUGCAAAGAGGACAGAGACAGGCUCUUUUCAGUGAUUCCCAGUGACAGGACCAGAGGCAAUGGGCACAAACUGGAACAGGAGGUUCCCUCUGAAUAUCAGGAAACACUUUUCUACUGUGAGGGUGACUGAGCACUGGCACAGGUUGGCCGGAGAGGUUGUGGAGUCUCCAUCCUUGGAGAUACUCAAAAGCCAUCGGGACAUGGUCUUGGACAACUGGCUUUAGGUGGCCCUGCUUGAGCAGGGCAGUUGGACCAGAUGACUUUGGAGGCCCCUUCCAACCUCAAUCAUUCUGUGAUUCUUCCUUGAAGUGAUGCUGUACUAGUAGCCAUAUACCAUAAUGUUUCUGUCACCAAGUUUGUCAGCUCUUCAAACUCGAACUGAUUAUAUAUGAAUACAUAGAUAUAGAUAUGUAAAAGGAAUGGGAAGGCAUGUGUCCUUUUUCCUUUUGCUACCUUUCAACAAUGCCUGCAACAGUGAUUCUUUGCCAUGAAAGACUUCUGAGAUGAAAGUGCUUCUUGUGGAAUGAUAUUUCCCAUGUUUGUGGGAAAAGGAGGAAGUAUUUAAGGAUAUUAUUAUCACUUUAUCUAUUUGCAUCCAGAAAACAACUUGUUUUUUUCAAGUCUGCUGUGUUUAAGAAUAUUUAACAGUAGAAGCUGCUACCUUGAGCUUAAUGUAGACUUGCUUUAAAAUUCAGAGAAGGAUGUCUCCUUCAAGGCUCGUGUUUGAAAUGGAAAAUAUUUUGAUAAAUGUAGAAUAUUCAAAAUAGCUGCUAAAUUCACCAAAAAUAUGGAAAGAGCCUGCUUUUAUAGCUCAAAGUUGCUCAUUUUUCAUCUUAAACAGAGAUACGCAUUUGUAAUACCACACAAUGUAACUACCCCUCUUGUGUAAGAAUCAGAAAACUUCUGGUUUUGUAACUGGUGACAGAGGGAGACUCUAUAAAAUAAGGGGUAUGUGUGUGAAUAAAAGAUUAUUACCAUCUAUUUAUCGAAAUGGAAAGGAGCACAGUUUUCACCUGAAAGUCAGUUUUGUGGUGAUCGUUCAUAAGAGAAGCAAGGGUCCAUUGCACAGAUAAGAAGAUGGACCAUAGAAAUAGAAUGUGAAUUAACCUGUCUCUCAGCACGUCACUUCGGUAUCUGGCAAUAAACCCAGAUGUUUUACCAGGUGUGUUCCAAGUCCCAUCUUUGCCCAGAGGAAUGAGAUGCAAUACGUGGUACUAAAAGCUGCACCAGAAAGUAGCUUUCUGUUAAGAUUUAGCAGUAUGUUUAUUAGUAGCAAAUUCAUUUUAAUAAGAAUCAUGCUUCCCAAUGAAAUGGUUGUGGUAUUUCCACUAAUUGUACCCAAAUAUUUUCUUCAUCUUUGAAUGUUACAAUUCAGACACUGUAUUUCUUUGAGUGCAAAACUUUGUAUUGUCAAAUCCUGUAUGUUUUCUGAGUGCUUUUGAGAUUAUACUGUGGCAGCAA
ensembl:lncRNA